rnacentral:rRNA from 1 species
UACGGAGGGUGCGAGCGUUGUCCGGAUUUAUUGGGUUUAAAGGGUGCGUAGGCGGUCUAUUAAGUCAGCGGUGAAAUACUCCAGCUUAACUGGAGGGGUGCCAUUGAUACUGAUGGACUUGAGUCAAGUCGAGGUAGGCGGAAUUGACGGUGUAGCGGUGAAAUGCUUAGAUAUCGUCAAGAACACCAAUAGUGAAGACAGCUUACUGGGCUUAAACUGACGCUGAGGCACGAAAGUGUGGGGAUCAAACAGG